rnacentral:rRNA from 1 species
GACGGAGGGUGCAAGCGUUGUUCGGAUUGACUGGGCGUAAAGGGCGUGUAGGCGGUUCGUUAAGUCGGGUGUGAAAGCCCGGGGCUCAGCUCCGGAAGUGCGCCCGAAACUGGCGAGCUGGAGCGCGGUAGAGGAGGGUGGAAUUCCUGGUGUAGCGGUGAAAUGCGUAGAUAUCAGGAGGAACACCGGUGGCGAAGGCGGCCUUCUGGACGGAUACUGACGCUGAGGCGCGAAAGCUAGGGGAGCAAACAGG